UGGGGAAUUUUGGACAAUGGGCGAAAGCCUGAUCCAGCAAUGCCGCGUGUGUGAAGAAGGCCUUCGGGUUGUAAAGCACUUUUGUCCGGAAAGAAAUCCUUGGCUCUAAUACAGUCGGGGGAUGACGGUACCGGAAGAAUAAGCACCGGCUAACUACGUGCCAGCAGCCGCGGUAAUACGUAGGGUGCAAGCGUUAAUCGGAAUUACUGGGCGUAAAGCGUGCGCAGGCGGUUUGCUAAGACCGAUGUGAAAUCCCCGGGCUCAACCUGGGAACUGCAUUGGUGACUGGCAGGCUAGAGUAUGGCAGAGGGGGGUAGAAUUCCACGUGUAGCAGUGAAAUGCGUAGAGAUGUGGAGGAAUACCGAUGGCGAAGGCAGCCCCCUGGGCCAAUACUGACGCUCGUGCACGAAAAGCGUGGGGAGCAAACAGGAUUAGAUACCCUGGUAGUCCACGCCCUAAAACGAUGUCAACUAGUUGUUGGGGAUUCAUUUCCUUAGUAACGUAGCUAACGCGUGAAGUUGACCGCCUGGGGAGUACGGUCGCAAGAUUAAAAACUCAAAUGAAUUGACGGGGUCAUAGCUGUUUCCU
rnacentral:rRNA from 1 species